rnacentral:rRNA from 1 species
AAAUUGAAGAGUUUGAUCAUGGCUCAGAUUGAACGCUGGCGGCAGGCCUAACACAUGCAAGUCGAACGGUAACAGGAAGCAGCUUGCUGCUUCGCUGACGAGUGGCGGACGGGUGAGUAAUGUCUGGGAAACUGCCUGAUGGAGGGGGAUAACUACUGGAAACGGUGGCUAAUACCGCAUAACGUCGCAAGACCAAAGAGGGGGACCUUCGGGCCUCUUGCCAUCAGAUGUGCCCAGAUGGGAUUAGCUUGUUGGUGAGGUAACGGCUCACCAAGGCGACGAUCCCUAGCUGGUCUGAGAGGAUGACCAGCCACACUGGAACUGAGACACGGUCCAGACUCCUACGGGAGGCAGCAGUGGGGAAUAUUGCACAAUGGGCGCAAGCCUGAUGCAGCCAUGCCGCGUGUAUGAAGAAGGCCUUCGGGUUGUAAAGUACUUUCAGCGGGGAGGAAGGUGUUGUGGUUAAUAACUACAGCAAUUGACGUUACCCGCAGAAGAAGCACCGGCUAACUCCGUGCCAGCAGCCGCGGUAAUACGGAGGGUGCAAGCGUUAAUCGGAAUUACUGGGCGUAAAGCGCACGCAGGCGGUCUGUCAAGUCGGAUGUGAAAUCCCCGGGCUCAACCUGGGAACUGCAUUCGAAACUGGCAGGCUUGAGUCUUGUAGAGGGGGGUAGAAUUCCAGGUGUAGCGGUGAAAUGCGUAGAGAUCUGGAGGAAUACCGGUGGCGAAGGCGGCCCCCUGGACAAAGACUGACGCUCAGGUGCGAAAGCGUGGGGAGCAAACAGGAUUAGAUACCCUGGUAGUCCACGCCGUAAACGAUGUCUACUUGGAGGUUGUGCCCUUGAGGCGUGGCUUCCGGAGCUAACGCGUUAAGUAGACCGCCUGGGGAGUACGGCCGCAAGGUUAAAACUCAAAUGAAUUGACGGGGGCCCGCACAAGCGGUGGAGCAUGUGGUUUAAUUCGAUGCAACGCGAAGAACCUUACCUGGUCUUGACAUCCACGGAAGUUUUCAGAGAUGAGAAUGUGCCUUCGGGAACCGUGAGACAGGUGCUGCAUGGCUGUCGUCAGCUCGUGUUGUGAAAUGUUGGGUUAAGUCCCGCAACGAGCGCAACCCUUAUCCUUUGUUGCCAGCGGUUAGGCCGGGAACUCAAAGGAGACUGCCAGUGAUAAACUGGAGGAAGGUGGGGAUGACGUCAAGUCAUCAUGGCCCUUACGACCAGGGCUACACACGUGCUACAAUGGCGCAUACAAAGAGAAGCGACCUCGCGAGAGCAAGCGGACCUCAUAAAGUGCGUCGUAGUCCGGAUUGGAGUCUGCAACUCGACUCCAUGAAGUCGGAAUCGCUAGUAAUCGUGGAUCAGAAUGCCACGGUGAAUACGUUCCCGGGCCUUGUACACACCGCCCGUCACACCAUGGGAGUGGGUUGCAAAAGAAGUAGGUAGCUUAACCUCCGGGAGGGCGCUUACCACUUUGUGAUUCAUGACUGGGGUGAAGUCGUAACAAGGUAACCGUAGGGGAACCUGCGGUUGGAUCACCUCCUUACCUGAAAGAAGC